AUUGAACGCUGGCGGCAGGCCUAACACAUGCAAGUCGAACGAGUGGCGGACGGGUGAGUAAUGUCUGGGAAACUGCCUGAUGGAGGGGGAUAACUACUGGAAACGGUAGCUAAUACCGCAUACAAUCAGAUGAGCCCAGAUGGGAUGAGCUUGUGGGUGGGGUAACGGCUCACCAAGGCGACGAUCCCUAGCUGGUCUGAGAGGAUGACCAGUCACACUGGAACGGAGACACGGUCCAGCCUCCGACGGGAGGCACCGUUGGGACAUAUUGCAGAGUGGGCGCAAGCCGGAUGCAGCCAUGCCGGGUGUAUGAAGAGGGCCAUCGGGUUGUAAAGUAUUUUCAGCGGGGAGGCGUUACCCGCAGAAGAAGCACCGGCUAACUCCGUGCCAGCGGCCGCGGUAAUUC
rnacentral:rRNA from 1 species